rnacentral:rRNA from 1 species
AGUGAACGCUGGCGGUAGGCCUAACACAUGCAAGUCGAACGGCAGCACAGUAAGAGCUUGCUCUUACGGGUGGCGAGUGGCGGACGGGUGAGGAAUACAUCGGAAUCUACUUUUUCGUGGGGGAUAACGUAGGGAAACUUACGCUGAUACCGCAUACGACCUACGGGUGAAAGCAGGGGAUCUUCGGACCUUGCGCGAUUGAAUGAGCCGAUGUCGGAUUAGCUAGUUGGCGGGGUAAAGGCCCACCAAGGCGACGAUCCGUAGCUGGUCUGAGAGGAUGAUCAGCCACACUGGAACUGAGACACGGUCCAGACUCCUACGGGAGGCAGCAGUGGGGAAUAUUGGACAAUGGGCGCAAGCCUGGUCCAGCCAUACCGCGUGGGUGAAGAAGGCCUUCGGGUUGUAAAGCCCUUUUGUUGGGAAAGAAAAGCAGCAGGUUAAUACCCCGCUGUUCUGACGGUACCCAAAGAAUAAGCACCGGCUAACUUCGU